rnacentral:rRNA from 1 species
UACGUAGGUGGCGAGCGUUGUCCGGAUUUAUUGGGCGUAAAGAGCCCGCAGGCGGUUUGUUAAGUUUCAGGUGAAAUCUCCUGGCUCAACUGGGAGGGGUCCUGGAAAACUGGCAGACUUGAGGCAGGGAGAGGGAUGUGGAAUUCCCGGUGUAGUGGUGAAAUGCGUAGAUAUCGGGAGGAACACCAGUGGCGAAGGCGGCAUCCUGGCCCUGUCCUGACGCUCAGGGGCGAAAGCGUGGGGAGCAAACCGG